AAAGCGUGCGCAGGCGGUUAUGCAAGACAGAUGUGAAAUCCCCGGGCUCAACCUGGGAACUGCAUUUGUGACUGCAUGGCUAGAGUACGGUAGAGGGGGAUGGAAUUCCGCGUGUAGCAGUGAAAUGCGUAGAUAUGCGGAGGAACACCGAUGGCGAAGGCAAUCCCCUGGACCUGUACUGACGCUCAUGCACGAAAGCGUGGGGAGCAAACAGGAUUAGAUACCCCAGU
rnacentral:rRNA from 1 species